ACCUGACCCGAAGUUGGCGUGUAACCGACUGAGCUACCCAGGCACCCCAAUUUUCCUUGUUUUUUUGAGGUGAAUGUAUACCUCAUUUAUUUUUAAUCCUUUUUCUUAAAAAAAGUUCAUAUAAUACUAUGAAAUAAACCUAGCAUUUUUAACUGCAUUGAACUGGUUUUGAGGUAAUUAUCUAUAUCUCAAAACAUGUAUAUGUAAAAUUUUCCAUUCACUUCUAAAUAUUUCCUGUUCCCAUAAUUCCCACUGUCAUUUAACAUAAGAAUGUGUCAUUUAACAGGAUAAUUCAUUUGUGAUCUUUGAUUAUUGGUGUCAAAUUACAUUAGACUAUGUCAUAGAAUAUGAUUUAUUGCCAAUUACUUGAACUAUGAUAACACUUCCUUUGUGAUUUACUACAUUAUCAAUUUAAUUAUUAUUCCAUGUACACAUGUAUUUUUUGGGUAUAUAAUUCUGUACAUAUUUAUUAAGUUGAGUUUCCUAAGUUUGCUGUUCAAAACCAUAUUCUUACUAAUAUUUAGUCUGCUUCAACCAGCAUUACUUGAAAUCUACUAAUAUUACGGAAGUAUCCAUUUCUUCUUGCAAUUGUACCUAUUUUGCUUUAAGUAUUUCAAUACUUUAGUUCUUAGUUACAAAUAAGUUCAUUAUUGCUAGCAUUUCCUAAGUGAAUUUUCUCCUUUAUUGUUAUACAUGAUAUAUCUUGCCUUAAAUUAAUAUUUUGCCUUAAAUUCUAUUCCAUUUUAUAUUAAUAUUGUUGUAGUAGUUUUCCUAUGGUUAGCAUUCACAAAAUACAGCUUUCCCCAUCAUUUUAUCAUACCUCUUGCUAGCAACUUAUAGCUAUAUUUAAAAAGAAUCCAUUCUGUAAUCUGUCUUUUAAUAGGUGAGUUUGAGCCAUUCACAGUAUUUUAAUUAACUAAUAUUUUGAAUUUACUUAUUACCAUGCUAUUUUGUUUGUAUUUUAUAUUUUCUAUCUCUUUGUUCUCUAUAUUUCAUUGGGGAGGGACAGAGAGAGAGAGGGAGACACAGAAUUCCAAGCGGGCUCCAGGCUCUGAGCUAUCAGCACACAGCCUGACACAGAGUUUGAGAUCAUGACCUAAGCUGAAGUCAGAUGCUUACCAACUGAGCCACCCUGUGCCCCUCUAUACUGCAUUCUUAAUGAACUCCUUAAAUUAUUCCUCCAGUUCACUGUUUUUCCCUUCUACUCUAAUGUAGAAAUUAUUUUUCAAAUUUUAAUAACCAUGGUUUUUAUUUAAAUGUAUAGAAUUUCUUCCCUCUCAUGCCCAGAAUUUUUUAAAUGUAUUUUUAAAUAAUUCCUUGCCAUUUAAAAAAAACAGAAAUAUUCUUCCAUUUAUCAAUUUGAGAAUCAUAAACAUAAAUAUUCAAGGUCUUUAUUGGAAAAUUUCAUAAAAUAAGUUUAGCUUGGAAUGAAUAUGCCAAUUCUUGAUUUGGUUAGCUGUAUUUGGUAUUUGAUUUCUUUAUGUGCUUUAGAAUUUUUGUUUAUAAGCUCACUGUCACUUUCUUUUUCUGAGUUUAUUUCUCCCUGUCUUGAUCUUAAUUUGUGGUUGUUUUCAUCUGGCUUCUUGAUCCUCACAUGCAGCUGAUCUUAUCAUCAGAUUUGGGGGCUUCUGUGCUGUGGGGGUAACAUAAACAUUGCAGAUUCUGUCAACUGCAAAGUCACUUGGUUGUUUUGUGCUAUUCUUAGCAGGAAGGCUAUGUCUUUAUUCUUCUUAGACCCGGAGCUUGUUCAACCUGCAUUCUAGGUUUUAGUCUGUUUUCUCAUGAGAAAGGGAGCUCCACUCCAAUUGUUGGGUUCAAAUUGUGAACAUGCUUUGAGUCACAUUAUCAAAUGUUGUUUGUAUUUAUCUGAGUAUUGUAUGUGUCAUGUCCUAGGAAAUGGCAGGAGUGGGGCUUGGUGGGAGAAAAAUUCAGUCCUGCGUAUUAGCCAAAAAGAGUAUUAAAGGGAGAGGAAAAAUAUGUGUACUGGCUGUCUCUGUUUUAAUGAUGUGUAUUUAGGAUUAUCUCAUAGCAUAGGUUAGCCCUAAGAAUGGCUUUGUUUAGAAGGCUUGAUUUGUCAAUAGCAACAGACCUUGGUUGAGUAUGUUGUUUUUUAUUCUCUUUGAUAAGUGCUAAGAAAUUAAUCAAAAAGAAUUUAGAAUUUUAUGUUUGUACUGGAAUUAAAAUUUAAAAAACUUAAUGAAAUUUCAAAAUUAAAGAAUUUAGAAUUAGAUCAAAGAUACUGUGUGAAAUUGAAUUUUCAAAAAUAUUUAUGAUUUAUCUGUAAAUCAUACUACCACAUAUCCUUUUAUGGAAUUCAAAAUAUGUUUGAAAAUUAUUAUGUUAAAGAUAAGGAAGUGAUUUGUUAUUACAGGUUCCGAGACAUUUGCUGAAAUGUUUGUUUCAUUGUAAUCCAAGAAUUCCCUGGGGCUUGAAAGGUCUAUGUUCAAAUGACUAAUGGAAUCAAACCUCCUUUGUUAUGGAAUGCUGGUACGUGCAUUUGAAGUAGUUGAUAUUAUUUUUCUCAAAGUCUCCACGCUUGUAGCAGAGACACUGAGAGUGGUCUGUAGAAGAGAUCAUAAUCUCUUUGAGAGGCCUGAGAGAGACAACCUGGAUUUCUAAGUUUUUUUUUCUUUUCCACCUGCAGUUUAAUGAUAGCCUUUUCUACCUUAAGAUGAUCUCAGAUACUUAAAUAUACUUAAAUACUUAGUAUGGGAGAGAUACAUCAUCUCAAAAGAUUUUAGGACUGGUUAGUGUUUGCUAUGAUCUCACUGAAGUAUGAUGCUACCAAAAUAUAUAAUAAUCCUAUUGUAUUCUCAUUAAAUAACUAGACAAAGAAAUAAAAACUUAUUUUAGUGCUGAAAACCACAUUAGCCAAUGACUAAUUUAGACUACUUGUCAUGUUUCAAUUUCAAAAGGCAUGACCAAAAUACAGCAAUAACAAAGUACAUUGCAACCACUCCUCUGGUUAUUUGUGUCGCUCUCCUGAACCACAUCAUGGUGUAUAGCUGACCUAAUAAGCUAUCAAGUCCUGACAAGUGUAAAAUCCCUCUCAUCUUAUUUGGGGAAAAUGCCUACUAUAUGUUUACUUUUCAUUAUAGGAAAAUACAUCUUUAUGUAUUACCUCAUCAAAAACAUGCUUUAAUAUAACCUAGAAAAUUGAGUAUGGUUCCUCAGAUACCAAAACAAUUCUUGUAUGGGAAAAUAUUGAAUUAAAUUGGGAUUUUACUAGCAUAUUGAGUAAACACUUCAUCUUUCUUAUGUUAACGCUACCUGGAGACCUUAAGAGGUUGUGCCUUCCAAUUUAUAAAUUAGAAUUCUGCUGUAGUUGUGACUAAGUGUAGAGUUUUUGUUUUAAAUAUUCCUACUCAGGACUUUGAAAGUAUUCUGCCUACCACAAGAACAGUUUUUACAUGUUUAGGUGAGUCAAAACACAAAAGGUUAGACAAUCAUUUCUCUGUUAUCAUGAGAAAAAGUUGGUAACUCCAUAGCUAUUUCUUACAUUACUGCUAACCAUAGCUGAUCAUAAUUAUUUCCUGAAACUAACAGGUGUUAUAGUUAGAUGUAGCAGAAGAUUAGAAGAGUACCAUACUGUGAAAGAAUAAUCUUGAUGACAUUGGGAAGGACUUCACAGAGGAGUUGGCUCAUGGGCAGGUCCUUAAAGCUAGAAUAGAAUUUUGAUAGGAGGUGAGAAAGUAAGAAGUGUUACCCAAGAGGGUUGAACUAAUUUAACUCAAUAAAUACUUAGAAAAAACUAUAAUAAAUAGAGUUAACUACUAAUCAGCACUGCUAUGUGCUAGGCACUACCCUAAAUAUUUAACGCAAAUGAUCUAACUCAAUCUAUUUUAAAACCCAAGGUAGACACUAUUAAUAUUUUCAUUGUAUAGAUGAGGCUCCGAGGCACAGAGAGAUCACUCAGUUAGUAAGUGGUAGAAUCAGGAUUCAAUCCAGAGCAGCUGACUCCAGAACCUACACGGCUAAACACAAGGAUACUGGAGUCGACUGCCUGGCUUCAAAUUCUGACUCCAUCUAGAGCACUUAGGUUACUGCCUGCCACCGGAGCAAAAGAUAGUUUUUCCCCACUUCUGCCAUCAAUUGAGAUUGGAGAAUCCACUCUGUCCUGAGACUGAUAUCCUGACAUGAUGAUGGAAAUAAUCAAGAGCCCAGUAGGGAAAGCCACACAGGAAGAACAGAGAAAUAUUCCUAAUAUAUUAUCUCUGAGCCAAAGUCAUGGAAAUAGAUAAGAGCACCUUGAGGGAAUGUGGGAUGAGAAGAGAAGAGAAGAGAAGAGAAGAGAAGAGAAGAGAAGAGAAGAGAAGAGAAUAUGGUGAGUGAGAAGAAGAUGGCAAAGGAAAUGAGCCAGCAAAAUAGAAUAAGAAAAGAUAAAAACAAUGUAAAAGAAAUAAAAAUGAAGAAGCAAGAGAAAAUGGUAUUUCUGAAAGCAAGAGAGCAUUUGUCUUCCCUUGGCCAUAUCACAACUAAAUCGUCCCUCAGUAUGAAAAUAGAGUACCAUUCUUCUAGUUUUGGAAUGAAUAAAGCAUGGGAAUAAAGGCACAGCAUAGGGAAUACAGUCAGUGAUAUUGCAGUAACGAUGUAUUAGGACAGAUGGUAGCUACCUACACUUGAGGUAAACAUAGCAUAAUGCAUAGAGAGGUAGAGCCACAGUGUUGUAUACCUGCAAAUAAUGUAAC